GAUGAACGCUGGCGGCGUGCCUAAUACAUGCAAGUCGAGCGAACAGACGAGGAGCUUGCUCCUCUGACGUUAGCGGCGGACGGGUGAGUAACACGUGGAUAACCUACCUAUAAGACUGGGAUCACUUCGGGAAACCGGAGCUAAUACCGGAUAAUAUAUUGAACCGCAUGGUUCAAUAGUGAAAGACGGUUUUGCUGUCACUUAUAGAUGGAUCCGCGCCGCAUUAGCUAGUUGGGAAGGUAACGGCUUACCAAGGCAACGAUGCGUAGCCGACCGGUGAGGGUGAUAGGCCACACUGGAACGGGGCCACGGACAAGGCGACUGAGGGAGGCAGCAGUAGGGAAUCGUACGCAAUGGGGGAAAGCCUGACGGAGCAACGCCGCGUGAGUGAUAAAGGUCUUCGGAUCGUAAAACUCUGUUAUUAGGGAAGAACAAAUGUGUAAGUAACUAUGCACGUCGUGACGGUACCUAAUCAGAAAGCCACGGCUAACUACGUG
rnacentral:rRNA from 1 species